AACGGUCUAUACCUGCGGUACCUGCGGAGGGAUCAUUACUGAGUUAGGGUCUUCAUGGCCCGACCUCCAACCCUGUGUUUAUUAUACCAUGUUGCUUUGGCAGGUCUGCCUUUCGGGGCUGCCGGGGGAAUCAUUGCCCCUGACGUGCACUUGCCAGGAGCCUCCUUAAACUCUGUGUUCAACUGUGUUGUCUGAGUCCCAAUAUUAAAUUAUCAAAAACUUUCAGCAACGGAUCUCUAG
rnacentral:misc_RNA from 1 species